GUAAGAGCUAGUUUUGGAUACAGUGAUGUGUGUGUAGAAGGUGUAAGUGUGUGGGUUUUGUGAGAGUGGUAGAUAUACAUGUUAGAAGAUGAAGAGAUAAUAUUGUAUCUUAGAGAGUGGAAUGCUGAGCUUUGUGCGUGUUAGAAGUCGCAGGGUGUGCAUGAUGAUGUGUGUGCAGUAGAGGUACGGGUGUAAUGGAGAGCUCUAUAUAUUGGAGAGAUGUUUGUGUGU